rnacentral:misc_RNA from 1 species
UCCGACUUGUCGUCGGCAGUCACCUGUGAGUGCCCAACCGAAUGCUGGCAACACAGAUCAAGGGUUGCGCUCGUUGCGGGACUUAACCCAACAUCUCACGACACGAGCUGACGACAACCAUGCACCACCUGUCACCGCUGCCCCGAAGGGAAGGCCUGUCUCCAGACCGGUCAGCGGGAUGUCAAGACCUGGUAAGGUUCUUCGCGUUGCUUCGAAUUAAACCACAUGCUCCACUGCUUGUGCGGGCCCCCGUCAAUUCCUUUGAGUUUCAGUCUUGCGACCGUACUCCCCAGGCGGAGUGCUUAAUGCGUUAGCUUCGGCACAGAAGGUGGUACCCUCCAACACCUAGCACUCAUCGUUUACGGCGUGGACUAC